rnacentral:lncRNA from 1 species
AUUUUUUUUUUAAAACUCAAGUUCAUGUAUUCAACUUCAUCUUCAUCAUAUACAUUCUCCUCCACCAUGACACUGCAAACUCUCUCGGCUGGCGGCUGCUGCUCUGCAAACUCAACUUCUCCAACAUCCAACCGACGACGGGUGACAACAGAUUCCGUAAUCACGCAUCCCCCGGUCUAUUUUCGGAAUUAUUGGUAAGUAAUUUAUUUUCCCCAAAAUCCGUAGACAACGAGAUGGCAUGUUGGUUCUGUUAUUAACUCGUUUUCCUGUUUUGGAUGAGAUUCAAAUUGGGUUCUUUGUCUAUUUGUUGCUAUAUCUUGAUUCUUGAAGACUCGAACUUUGAAGCGUAUCAUGGAAUUCAUGUUUUUGGUGAAUGAAAUUCUGAAAUUCAUCCAUUAAUGAUUAAUCCUGCCAUCCAUGUUUAACUGAUGAAGUAAUUUAACAGCAAGUUAAUUGAGCAAUUGUUCUAAGGUGAGCUGCGAUGUUACGGAAUGGCUAUGUGCAAACCUCAAAUUAAAGUAACCAAAUAUAGAAGACUUUCAUUACAGAAGGAUAAGGACAUAAUUAUAGGUUAUCUAUGAAUGAUCACACCCGAACAGAAUAUCCCCAAAUCUAACUUCAAAUUCCCCUGCCCUCAACUCCCUCAUCAAAGCAAUGAGGGAUGAUUCAACUCUGCUGGCAUAUGAGGCCUUAUAUAGGUUGGGUUGGAUGAAAAAACCUGAUGCUAACCCUACAUUAAAAGCUGUUGUAAAUAAUCUUUCCUUGCAUCCCAUUGUUCGCCUAAAGGCCGCAGAAUCUCUUGGUGUAUUUGGUUUAGAGACAAGUAUUUUUGGUGUGGUCGGAGUAAAUAAUUAGAAUCUGUUUGUUAUUUUAUUAUUCAGGCACAAGACUUUCUUGUAUCUCAGUUUUUAUAUAUCCAUUUCAACUUGGUUGACCGAUUACUUCACUCUCUAUCUACACAGAUUUCUCUUUAAUUAUUCAUGGUUUAUAAGUGUUUUGAGAUUUCAAAAUUAAUGCUUGCAGAAUUUAUUUUUAGAACACGUUUUGAUUAGCAUUUUCCCUUUUAUUUGUAUUGAUGAUUAGAAUGAGGUUUUACUUAUAUUGAUUUUUCUAUAUACAAUCAAUUAUACACGUCCAUUGCCAAUUUGAUUGGAGAAGUUGCUAUAACCAUACUGAAGGAAUAUGUACAGUUCACUAAAGGCAUGUAUAAAGCUUGACUUUUCUACUUGCAGACAAUAAUGGAUUUUUAAUUUCUUGAGUUCAUAUGGGUAUUCUUUUAUGGUUUUAUGCAAUUUGAUUAGUUGAACUAAGUGUCUUCCUAUUGAACCCAUGCUAAAGGUUAUUAUAAACUCUAUUAAUUAAGAUAUUUGUUUAUGAGGCACGGUGCACCAAUUUUUGAGCCACUUAAAUUUUUGAAAUUUUGCAUUGUGCACCGAUUUAAGUAAUUGAAUUAGAUGUAGAACAUGAGAAAAAUUUGUGUCACUUUUCUUGCCAAUUUAACAUCCUUUUUAAGGCAUAAAAAUUUAAUGCACUGUUUUGUUUAUAAUCCCCCUUUUUUAAUUAUUGGUUAUGGGUGCAUUAAUUAUGGGUUGAAUAGGAUGUGACUUGUGAAUUCUUGAUUUGCAUUCAAUGAUUUUCCAGUAGGCUUUAAUUGUUAAAGUUUACUGGUUGAAUACGUUGUGACUAAUUAUUAUUAAUUAUUAGUUAAAAUAUCUUGUAGGGGCUAUAGACAGAGUUUUGAAUAACAGAGCUUUCUACAAUUCAAAUUGCAAAAAGGUAAGUUCGUAAACGGAAGAUAUGGGGAUUGUGCAUGCAAAUUAGAGUAUGCAUGCAUGCAUGCAUCUUUUAUUUCUCGUGUACGGUUGUGUUAUGUAUCUUGCAUAUUUUUGAUUUUAUGGACUGUUUUAUAUCUCUUGUGGAUUGUGUUUGUAGGAUGAGAUGGGGACUGGUGCAUCCAAAUUUUAAAAUGGAUGUUACCAAAUGAUUUCAUAUAUAGUCAAGACCUAUACAAGACUCAAUAUUUUUUACCAUGUCAACUACCUUCCAAUGUAUGCAGUAAAGAGAAAGAGUUAGCAGCAAAACAUGCUACUUGAAAGUUUGAAUAUGCAAUUCGAGUGAAGAUGGAGCAAAUGAUACAAAACAAGUUGAAGGAAGUUGAGCAACAAUUCAAUUAUACGUUGUGAGAACUAGCACUAGCAGCAUAUCUAUUUCUUUUUUUAAAUGCGUAAUAAUAGAUAUAGAUUAUUUUUGCUACUACUUUUAAGUUUAGAUGUAACCAUACUUAAAGCCCGUUUAAUACCUAUUUUUUUCAAAAUGCAUUUUUCCCUCUCUUCUUUUCAACUACACAUUUUUUAUUAAAAUAAUAUUACACGUAAAUCAAAAAUUUUUCUUUAUUUUUCAACAACAAAUUUUUCAUCAAUUUACUAUUCAAAAAUGUAUUUUUACAUAAAAAUGUCUCCCAAACACCCCCUUAGUGAAUAAUUUUUAUUUGAAUUUUGGUGUAAUAUUUUGGAUUUAAGGUUACAUUGAUUGACACUACAUGUCUUAAUUAGUUUAUUGUCUUUUUACAUUUUUAUGUUACUUUGAAUAAGGUUAUUAAAAUUAAUAAAAUAUCAAUAAUAAGUAAUUUAGUUUCUUUCUACAAAUUAUUUUAUUGUUGAGAAAAAUAAUAUGCUUUCUCCACAAAAAAAUUAUAUGUAGAGAAAAGCACGGCUUAGCCCUCAAAAUAAUAGUACAAUAUUGUCACAAUUUUUUGAUUGUAGGGAAAAAUAUGUAUAUUUUAUCCCAUAAAUAUGCUUUCACACAAAAAUUUAUUUGUAGGGAAAAAAAAGAUUUAGCCCACAACAUAAUUUGUAGGGAAAUGUGAUAUCGUCUUGUGGGCCCAAAGUAACUUUAACAGACGAAUGAUUUUGUUAGGAGAAAACUUACACGACGUAUUGUAUUUGUCUUCAUAGGAUUCGUAGGGAAAAUUUUUUGUCCACAAGUUUCAAAAUUUUGUAGGCUAAGUUCUUUUCUCUCGAUGUUUGCAUCACAAAUGUGUCUACAAAUUUUUUUUGUCUGCAAAGAAUUUUAUCCACAAAUAAGAACCUUCCCUUACUAAUAAAUUUUGUCAGAAAAACAUAAAAUUCUUGUAGUGACUAUAGCCUUCAUGUUCGAUUGCAGGGAGGUGUAAUGAAUUAUUGCUAUUUGUCGGGACAAGGUUUGUGGGGGUGGGGGUGGCAUGUGACAUGAAGGAGAUGAAAACGUGCAAGAUAGAGGAUGGGUGUAAUCACGUGUGAAGGUUUGGUGUUGGUCCCAAAAUUCAGUAAUUGGAAGCGACACGCGUCCCUACGAAUAACGUUGUUGCCUAAGAUUGUUAGGUUAUGACUAGAAUUUUCAUUUGUUAAGCACUUGUACCUUGUAUUUGUAAGUUAAGUUUGAAAUCAGCUAUGUGUAAGGAAUUUGGUCAAAAUUUUGAA